GAAAACUUUCUCCGCUCCAAGUUAAAACAACACGCUCCAAUACCGCAGGAAGUAAAACAAGUUCUCAACUUUCUGUUCUCAAUUCUCAAGGAUGGACUGGGCCCAAGUUGUGAAAGCAGCCAUCAAAUUAAAGAAGCCAAGUGCCCUAGUGACAAAAGGGCAUAAGAGAGAUUGAUGGAAUGACGAAGAUCCUGGCAUUGUCCUACUGAACUCAGCUUUUUGGAAACUAGCAUUAAGCACUCUGAGUCUUCUGAAGACAUCGUAAACAAAAUGCUGUCAC